rnacentral:rRNA from 1 species
GAUGAACGCUGGCGGCGUGCCUAAUACAUGCAAGUCGAGCGAAUGGAUUAAGAGCUUGCUCUUAUGAAGUUAGCGGCGGACGGGUGAGUAACACGUGGGUAACCUGCCCAUAAGACUGGGAUAACUCCGGGAAACCGGGGCUAAUACCGGAUAACAUUUUGGACCGCAUGGUUCGAAAUUGAAAGGCGGCUUCGGCUGUCACUUAUGGAUGGACCCGCGUCGCAUUAGCUAGUUGGUGAGGUAACGGCUCACCAAGGCAACGAUGCGUAGCCGACCUGAGAGGGUGAUCGGCCACACUGGGACUGAGACACGGCCCAGACUCCUACGGGAGGCAGCAGUAGGGAAUCUUCCGCAAUGGACGAAAGUUUGACAGAGCAACGCCGCGUGAGUGAUGAAGGCUUUCGGGUCGUAAAACUCUGUUGUUAGGGAAGAACAAGUGCUAGUUGAAUAAGCUGGCACCUUGACGGUACCUAACCAGAAAGCCACGGCUAACUACGUGCCAGCCGCCGCAGUAA